rnacentral:rRNA from 1 species
CACGUAGGGGGCAAGCGUUGUCCGGAAUUAUUGGGCGUAAAGAGCUCGUAGGCGGCUCGGUAAGUCAGGUGUCAAAUCCUCAGGCUCAACCUGGGGCUCCACCUGAUACUGCUGUGGCUAGAGUCCGGUAGGGGAGAGUGGAAUUCCUGGUGUAGCGGUGAAAUGCGCAGAUAUCAGGAAGAACACCCGUGGCGAAGGCGGCUCUCUGGGACGGUACUGACGCUGAGACGCGAAAGCGUGGGGAGCGAACAGG